rnacentral:rRNA from 1 species
GAUGAACGCUAGCGGCAGGCUUAAUACAUGCAAGUCGAGGGGCAGCACGGGUAGCAAUACCUGGUGGCGACCGGCAAACGGGUGCGGAACACGUACGCAACUUUCCUCUGAGCGGGGAAUAGCCCGGGGAAACCCGGAUUAAUACCCCAUAAUAUAAUCGGUAAGCAUUUGCUGAUUAUUAAAGAUUUAUCACUCAGAGAUGGGCGUGCGCCUGAUUAGGUAGUUGGCGGGGAACGGCCCACCAAGCCUGCGAUCAGUAGCUGAUGUGAGAGCAUGAUCAGCCACACGGGCACUGAGACGACGGGCCCACUCCUACGGGAGCAGCAGUAAGGAAUAUUGGUACAAUGGAACGAAAGUCUGAACCNGCCAUGCCGCGUGGAGAUGAAGGUCCU